rnacentral:rRNA from 1 species
UGGGGAAUAUUGCACAAUGGGCGCAAGCCUGAUGCAGCCAUGCCGCAUGUAUGAAGAAGGCCUUCGGGUUGUAAAGUACUUUCAGUCGGGAGGAAGGUGGUAAGGUUAAUAACCUUAUCAAUUGACGUUACCGACAGAAGAAGCACCGGCUAACUCCGUGCCAGCAGCCGCGGUAAUACGGAGGGUGCAAGCGUUAAUCGGAAUUACUGGGCGUAAAGCGCACGCAGGCGGUUGAUUGAGUCAGAUGUGAAAUCCCCGGGCUUAACCCGGGAAUUGCAUCUGAUACUGGUCAGCUAGAGUCUUGUAGAGGGGGGUAGAAUUCCAUGUGUAGCGGUGAAAUGCGUAGAGAUGUGGAGGAAUACCGGUGGCGAAGGCGGCCCCCUGGACAAAGACUGACGCUCAGGUGCGAAAGAGUGGGGAGCAAACAGG